rnacentral:rRNA from 1 species
UACGGAGGGUGCAAGCGUUGUCCGGAUUUAUUGGGUUUAAAGGGUGCGCAGGUGGGUAUUUAAGUCUGGUUUGAAAGCAGGUGGCUCAACCAUCUGAUGUGGCUGGAAACUGGAUAUCUUGAAUGGGUUGGCGGUAGCCGGAAUGGGUCAUGUAGCGGUGAAAUGCAUAGAUAUGACUCGGAACACCGAUUGCGAAGGCAGGCUACUACGACUUGAUUGACACUGAGGCACGAGAGCAUGGGUAGCGAACAGG